rnacentral:lncRNA from 1 species
GGAAAAUUAAUAGAUGCUAAAGCAGAAUUAGAGCAAAUUGCCAUUGGAUGAAGUUAUCAAGGGUAAUAAUUAGCUUCUCCACAACUGCACACUACGCAUUGAGAACAAAUGUUUGUUUGUUUUAAAAAAUAAAUUGCACAAAGCAUGGGAUUUGAAAUGGAAAUUAAUUAACUUUAUCUUAUCAUCUGUGUUAUACAGGGUAUAAGAGUAAAUGAUCAUCACAAAGUCUUCUAUCAUCACAGUCUUUAAAACUGUGUCACUGUUUUCCCUUCUGGCAAUUGGGAUUUGUUUGAUUAUCAUAUAGGUUAUCAUAUAGGGCACACAAAAGAUUUUACAAAGCAGGUUAUUAGCACUGUCAAGCAGAUUAAUAUCUAGGUGGGUUGAAUUCAUAAAUACUAAAGCAAAGCAUGGCUAAUAGGAAUUGCUCAGGAGGAAGAUAAAUAUUUAUAAUAGAAUUAAAUUUCUUGCACUGACUUUUCUAUAGUUGUGGCUAUCCUUACGAUUCUAUGCUUAAAGGAAUAUUUUCUUCACAACAGAUGUGAAUAGAUUUUUUAACUCUUAAAAAUAGAGUAGUACAGUAUACUCUGCAAUCUUUUUUCUCAUAUUUGUUUUCAUCUCAUUUUUCCAGUUUUUCUCUUACCAUUAUGACCAACACCAGCCUCAGAAUUCCUCAAAAGAUUCUUUCUUUGGUGGUGGAGCUUGGAAGUGAAAGCCUUAUUUGUGUAUUGUUUGACAAGACAUGUCACGUGCUCAAGGUAGAAUUCACAGCUGAGAAUAGGGUGUUUUGGGAAUGGAUACAUCAUGAAGAUUCAUCAUGAAGAAGCUAUAGCAGCUUGAUCCAUUGUUUAAGUUUUGGAAAUUUCCCACCUGAGAUUUGGUAGGAUGUUCUGACUGAGAUCCAACUCCGUUUGCAGAAGGCUGGACCCCUCUAGGUAUAUCAGCUACACUGCAGACAAUCGAAUGAUAUUAAAUAUAUAUAAGUACAUUAUUAAAUCCAUUAAUCACUCCAGUAAAUUAGGCACCUAGCUAUAAGUUAGUUAAAAUUAGGUGAAAUUAAUUUUUAUGUUUGUAGGCGAGUUUCAGAUUUUUAAUAGAUGAGUACAGUCAUCUUCAUGAAAGCAUCUACAUGAAGAGUAAGAACCCAGGAUGUCACUAUAGUCAGUCAAAGUGUAGUCAGUACAGAAAUCCAUGUCACCUGAAACAGACGCAUAGUCCAUUUUCUCAGCAUGGCAUCCAGGGGUAGUGAGAAUGUUAAAGAAAAACUCCCUCGGCCUGCAGCAGCUCUUGUAGAAAUUCAGAGUUUUCUCUAAGUCCUUUGUCACAUGCUGGUACCAUGUAAACAUCUCAUACACCUUACAGAAUCUCAAACUGCAUUUUAUGUCUCUGUGUAGGCAGUAGAAUAAAUACUCUAGUAAUUCAGUUGUUAAAAGACA